GGAAUUGACGGGGAGCACCACAACGGUGGAGCUUGCGGUUUAAUUGGAUUCAACGCCGGAAAUCUUACCGGGACCGACAGCAAUAUGAAGGCCAGGCUGAAGACUUUGCCGGAUUAGCUGAGAGGUGGUGCAUGGCCGUCGUCAGUUCGUACUGUGAAGCAUCCUGUUAAGUCAGGCAACGAGCGAGACCCACGCCCACAGUUGCCAGCGUACUCUCCGGAGUGACGGGUACACUGUGGGACCGCCGCUGCUAAAGCGGAGGAAGGAAUGGGCAACGGUAGGUCAGUAUGCCCCGAAUAUCCCGGGCUACACGCGAGCUACAAUGGUUGGUACAAUGGGUAUCUACCCCGAAAGGGGACGGGAAUCUCCUAAAACCAAUCUUAGUUCGGAUUGAGGGCUGCAACUCGCCCUCAUGAAGCUGGAAUCCGUAGUAAUCGCGUUUCAACAGAACGCGGUGAAUACGUCCCUGCUCCUU
rnacentral:rRNA from 1 species